rnacentral:rRNA from 1 species
GACGAACGCUGGCGGCGUGCUUAACACAUGCAAGUCGAACGGAAAGGCCCUGCUUUUGUGGGGUGCUCGAGUGGCGAACGGGUGAGUAACACGUGAGUAACCUGCCCUUGACUUUGGGAUAACUUCAGGAAACUGGGGCUAAUACCGGAUAGGAGCUCCUGCUGCAUGGGGGGGGUUGGAAAGUUUCGGCGGUUGGGGAUGGACUCGCGGCUUAUCAGCUUGUUGGUGGGGUAGUGGCUUACCAAGGCUUUGACGGGUAGCCGGCCUGGGAGGGUGACCGGCCACAUUGGGACUGCGAUACGGCCCAGACUCCUACGGGAGGCAGCAGUGGGGAAUAUUGCACAGUGGGCGGAAGCCUGAUGCAGCAGCGCCGCGUGCGGGAUGACGGCCUUCGGGUUGUAAACCGCUUUCGCCUGUGACGAAGCGUGAGUGACGGUAAUGGGUAAAGAAGCACCGGCUAACUACGUG